UACAGAGACUGCAAGCGUUAUUCGGAUUCACUGGGCGUAAAGGGUGCGCAGGCGGCCGUGUGUGUCAGGUGUGAAAGCCCGGAGCUUAACUCCGGAAUUGCGCCUGAAACUACAUGGCUAGAGCAUUGGAGAGGGAAGUGGAAUUCACGGUGUAGCAGUGAAAUGCGUAGAUAUCGUGAGGAACACCAGAGGCGAAGGCGACUUCCUGGACACAUAUUGACGCUGAGGUGACGAAAGCGUGGGGAGCAAACAGG
rnacentral:rRNA from 1 species